rnacentral:rRNA from 1 species
GACGAACGCUGGCGGCGUGCUUAACACAUGCAAGUCGAACGGAAAGGCCCUGCUUUUUGGGGGUGCUCGAGUGGCGAACGGGUGAGUAACAAGUGAGUAACCAGCCCUUGACUUUGGGAUAACAUCAGGAAACUGGGGCUAAUACCGGAUAGUAGCUCCUGCGGCAUGGUGGGGGUGGGAAAGUUUCGGCGGUUGGUGAUGGACUCGCGGCUUAUCAGCUUGUUGGUGGGGUAGUGGCUUACCAAGGGUUUGACGGGUAGACGGCCUGGGAGGGUGACCGGCCACAUUGGGACUGAGAUACGGCGCAGACUGCUACGGGAGGCAGCAGUGGGGAAUAUUGUACAAUGGGCGGGAGCCUGAUGCAGCAACGCCGCGUGUGGGAUGACGGCCUUCGGGUUGUAAACCGCUUUCGCCUGUGACGAAGCGUGAGUGACGGUAAUGGGUAAAGAAGCACCGGCUAACUACGUG